UGGAGCAUGUGGUUAAUUCGACGCAACGCGAAGAACCUUACCAGGGCUUGACAUCCCCUGACCGCGUAUGAAAGUACGUUUUCACCCUCGGGUGACAGGGAGACAGGUGGUGCAUGGUUGUCGUCAGCUCGUGUCGUGAGAUGUUGGGUUAAGUCCCGCAAUGAGCGCAACCCCUACGUUUAGUUGCUAACAGGUGAAGCUGAGCACUCUAGACGAACUGCCGUUGACAAAACGGAGGAAGGUGGGGAUGACGUCAAAUCAUCAUGCCCCUUAUGGCCUGGGCUACAAACGUAAUACAAUGGCGUAUACAAAGGGAUGCGAAAGGGUGACCUGGAGCAAAACUCACAAAGUACGUCUCAGUUCAGAUUGGAGUCUGCAACUCGACUCCAUGAAGGCGGAAUCGCUAGUAAUCGCGGAUCAGCAUGCCGCGGUGAAUACGUUCUCGGGGUUU
rnacentral:rRNA from 1 species